AUUGAACGCUGGCGGCAGGCCUCACACAUGCAAGUCGACCGCGUGGCGGACGGGUGAGUAAUGUCUGGGAAACAGCCAGAUGGCGGGGGAUAACUACUGGAAACGGUAGCUAAUACCACAUAGCCUCCGAUGUGCGCAGAUGGGAUUAGCUAGUUGGUGGGGUAACGGCUCACAAAGGCGACGAUCCCUAGCUGGUCUGAGAGGCGGACCAGCCACACUGGAACUGAUACACGGUCCAGACUACUACGGGAGGCAGCAUGGGGAAAUAUUGCGCAAUGGGCGAAAGCCUUAUGCAGCCAUGCCGCGUGGAUGAAGAAGGCCUGCGGGUUGUAAAGUACUUUCAUCGGGGAUGCGUUACCCGAUGAGGAAGCACCGGCUAACGCCGUGCCAGCAGCCGCGGUAAUUC
rnacentral:rRNA from 1 species